rnacentral:rRNA from 1 species
GAUGAACGCUGGCGGCGUGCCUAAUACAUGCAAGUCGAGCGAACGGACGAGAAGCUUGCUUCUCUGAUGUUAGCGGCGGACGGGUGAGUAACACGUGGAUAACCUACCUAUAAGACUGGGAUAACUUCGGGAAACCGGAGCUAAUACCGGAUAAUAUUUUGAACCGCAUGGUUCAAAAGUGAAAGACGGUCUUGCUGUCACUUAUAGAUGGAUCCGCGCUGCAUUAGCUAGUUGGUAAGGUAACGGCUUACCAAGGCAACGAUGCAUAGCCGACCUGAGAGGGUGAUCGGCCACACUGGAACUGAGACACGGUCCAGACUCCUACGGGAGGCAGCAGUAGGGAAUCUUCCGCAAUGGGCGAAAGCCUGACGGAGCAACGCCGCGUGAGUGAUGAAGGUCUUCGGAUCGUAAAACUCCGUUAUUAGGGAAGAACAUAUGUGUAGGUAACUGUGCACAUCUUGACGGUACCUAAUCAGAAAGCCACGGCUAACUACGUG